GAUGAACGCUAGCGGCAGGCCUAACACAUGCAAGUCGAGGGGUAGGGUUCUUCGGAACCUGAGACCGGCGCACGGGUGCGUAACGCGUAUGCAAUCUGCCUUACACUAAGGGAUAGCCCAGAGAAAUUUGGAUUAAUACCUUAUAGUAUAUUUUUGUGGCAUCACAAGAUUAUUAAAGAUUUAUUGGUGUAAGAUGAGCAUGCGUCCCAUUAGCUAGUUGGUGUGGUAACGGCAUACCAAGGCUAUGAUGGGUAGGGGUCCUGAGAGGGAGAUCCCCCACACUGGUACUGAGACACGGACCAGACUCCUACGGGAGGCAGCAGUGAGGAAUAUUGGUCAAUGGGCGCAAGCCUGAACCAGCCAUGCCGCGUGCAGGAUGAAGCAUCUAUGGUGUGUAAACUGCUUUUGUACGGGAAGAAACAACCCUACGUGUAGGGUCUUGACGGUACCGUAAGAAUAAGGAUCGGCUAACUCCGUGCCAGCCGCCGCGGUAACAC
rnacentral:rRNA from 1 species